GGCUUUUGCAUUUAAUGACAGAGUAGAUACUUAGGUUAUGUUCACACGGGCGUCGUUUUCCAGCGUUUUCAAAACCUUUUUUUCCUUCAAUCGUUUUGACACCCUGUUCACACGAUCCAAAGGAACAUAUAUCUCCAAUAUAUUAAAUAAACUACAGCUUCUGUUGUAAAUUGAUAGUGUUUGCAUCUGUUUUAGCGUGAAAACGCUCGAAAACGUUACCGUGUGCACAUAGCCUCAUCUCCUCUGCAUGUGAUUUAAUAUUGCCUUGAAUGAGCAAGUGAAGCCGGACGUGUCCAUUUCGUGCGAUUUUUCUCUUUACUCACAUUUUCGAUUUGUUUCCCAACAACAGGCUUGUUGAAACUUGUUGUGACAGGACAAAAAUUGUUUGUUGUGGACAGGUCUGUCGCAGGUCUGAUAACAAGCUUGCUGCAGACUUGACAAAAACCGAGGGGCAAUUCACUCCAAAAAUCCCGUACACUUCGUCAAAAAAUCCGGAAAAAAUCCAGAAAAAAUCCAUGAAAUCCUCAAAAUCCGUUGAAUCCAUCAAAAUCCAAAAAAUCCUUCAAAAAUCCACAGAAAUCCUUCAAAAAUCCACAGAAAUCCUUCAAAAUCCUUAAAAAAUCCGCAAAUCCACAAAAAAUAUAUGAAGUACUUGGUGUA